rnacentral:rRNA from 1 species
UCGGAUCAGGGUUAGUCGGAACCUAAGGCUAAUCCGAACGGAAAUGCCGAUGGCAAACAGGUUAAUAUUCCUGUACUGGUGCAAUCAGUGAAGGGACGACGAAGGAGUGAAAGGUCUGCGUACUGACGGAAAUGUACGUUAAAGCCAGUAGAUUCAGGUGCUGUAGGUAAAUCCGCAGCGCUUAUCGAUGGUGACAGUACCGAGAGUCUUCGGACAAUCGGAUAAUGACCCUAAGCAUACUUCCAAGAAAACUCUCUAAACUUAUGAUUGUACUGCCCGUACCGUAAACCGACACAGGUAGUCGAGAAGAAGAUUCUAAGGUGCUCGAGUGAUUCAUGGCUAAGGAACUCGGCAAAUUAACCCUGUAACUUCGGGAAAAAGGGUGCCCUCUUCGGAGGGUCGCAGAGAAAUGGCUCAGGCGACUGUUUAACAAAAACACAUGGCUAUGCUAAAUCGAAAGAUGAUGUAUAUGGCCUGACACCUGCCCGGUGCUGGAAGGUUAAGAGGAGAUGUCAGUCGCAAGACAAAGCAUUGAAUCGAAGCCCCAGUAAACGGCGGCCGUAACGAUAACGGUCCUAAGGUAGCGAAAUUCCUUGUCGGGUAAGUUCCGACCUGCACGAAUGGUGUAACUAUCUGAGCGCUGUCUCAGUCAUGAGCUCGGUGAAAUUGUAGUAGCGGUGAAGAUGCCGCUUACCCGCAACGGGACGGAAAGACCCCGUGCACCUUCACUACAACUUUGCAUUGAUUCUGGAUAAAUGAUGUGUAGGAUAGGUGGGAGACUUUGAAGCGGUGGCGCUAGCCAUCGUGGAGUCAACCUUGAAAUACCACCCUUCAUUUAUUCGGGAUCUAAUCCCGCUCAAGCGGGAGACAUUGCAUGGUGGGUAGUUUGACUGGGGUGGUCGCCUCCAAAAGAGUAACGGAGGCUUUCAAAGGUACCCUCAGCACGCUUGGUAACCGUGCGCGGAGUGCAAUAGCAUAAGGGCGCUUGACUGUGAGACUUACAAGUCGAGCAGGUACGAAAGUAGGAUAUAGUGAUCCGGUGGUUCCGCAUGGAAGGGCCAUCGCUCAAAGGAUAAAAGGUACGCCCGGGAUAACAGGCUGAUCUCCCCCAAGAGCUCACAUCGACGGGGAGGUUUGGCACCUCGAUGUCGGCUCGUCACAUCCUGGGGCUGGAGAAGGUCCCAAGGGUUCGGCUGUUCGCCGAUUAAAGUGGCACGCGAGCUGGGUUCAGAACGUCGUGAGACAGUUCGGUCCCUAUCUGUUGUGGGCGCUGGAAGUUUGAGAGGACCUGACUCUAGUACGAGAGGACCGAGUCGGACGUACCUCUAGUGGACCUGUUGUGGCGCCAGCUGCAUCGCAGGGUAGCUAUGUACGGUUGAGAUAAGCGCUGAAAGCAUCUAGCACGAAACUCGCCUCAAGAUGAGACUUCCUUUAAGGGUCGUCGGAGACUACGACGUUGAUAGGUUGUAAGUGU